AUGCCGGGGAUUGGCGAAGUGCUCGCCCUUCCGGCGCCCAAGCCCGGCGACAUCGAUGGCCCCCUCCCGCCCGCGCAGCUCGUCAAGGCGGAGGACACGGAGAUGGAGGAUGCGGCGGCGGCGGCGGAUGUUAUCACCGGCGCCAAGCCCGCCACAGUGGCCUCGCAGACCCGCAACAUAGGUAUGAUCCAUCCCCCCCCAGACAUCAGGAGCAUCAUCGACAAGACCGCCCACUUCGUCGCCAAGAAUGGCGUGGAUUUCGAGCGCAAGAUCAUGACCAACGAGCAGAAGAACGUCAAGUUCAACUUCCUCAACUCCUCCGACCCAUACCACGCCUACUACCAGCACCGGAUCUCGGAGGAGAAGAGCGGCAACGGCCCCCCUCCGCCGCCGCCGCCCUCUUCCGCCACCGAUCCAUCCAAGCCACCGCUCUCCGCCACUGCCGCCGCCGCCGCCACCGCCACCGCCACCGCCGCGGCCCAGAAGUUCGAUAUCUCGCAGUUCAUACAGCCGUCCAAGGUGGUGGAGCCGCCGGAGGCCGAGCAGUUCCUCCUCAAGCUCCCCGAGGGGCUGACGGGCCAGGACCUGGACAUCAUCAAACUCACGGCUCAGUUCGUGGCAAGGAAUGGCAAGGCGUUUCUUACCGGGCUGACGAGCCGGGAGCACAACAGCGUCCAGUUCAGCUUCCUCAAGCCGCAGCACAGCCUCUUCACCACCUUCACGGGCCUCACGGACUCCUACUCCAAGGUGCUGCUGCCGCCCAAGGGCCUCCUGGACAAGCUCAAGCGCGACCUGUCGGACAAGAUGUCCAUCCUGGAGCGCUGCCUCCACCGGCUCGAGUGGGAGAGAUCGCAGGAGAAGGCGCGGCAGAAGGCCGAGGACGAGGAGGAGCAGGAGCGGAUGAUGAUGAGCAGCAUCGACUGGCACGACUUCGUGGUGGUGGAGACGAUCCACUUCGUGGAGGAGGAGGACGACGCGUUGCCGGCGCCGGUGACGCAGGAGGAGGUGAUCCGCAGGAGCAAGGCGCUGACGGACGAGGAGGUGGCGGCGGAGACGGGGGCGGGGGCGGUCAAGGAGGUGGAGAUGGAGAUGGACGAGGAGGAGAUGCACCUGGUGGAGGAAAGUCGCAAGGCCGCCGCCCGGCAGCAGGAGGCCGCCAACGCCAAGGAGGUUGUCCAGGUGAUUGUCCCGGUGGACGAGGACGAGCCGCCGAUGAGGAUCGUGAGGAACUGGAAGAGGCCGGAGGAGAGGAUGGCGACCGAGAAGGACCCCACCAGGAUGGUCAUCUCUCCCAUAACUUCGGAGGUGAUCCCCAUCAGCGAGAUGGCGGAACACAUGCGGAUCUCGCUCAUCGACCCCAAGUUCAAGGAGCAGAAGGAGCGGAUGAUGGCCAAGCUGCGGGAGAGCACGCUCGCUACCGACGACGAGAUCUCGCGGAACCUCAUGGGGCUGGCUCGGCUGAGGCCCGACAUCUUCGGCACCACCGAGGAGGAAGUCUCCAAUGCCGUCAAGGCCGAGAUCGAGAAGAAGAAGGAGGAGCCGAAGCAGGUGAUCUGGGACGGCCACAGUGGGAGCAUCAGCAGGACAGCCAACCAGGCGCUUGCUCAAAACGCUGAGGAGUGGGACGCAGCUACCGGAGCGGCCAAACCAACGCCACCUUUGAAGCCACUUCCACCACCUGCUGGACUUGCUGUUAACAUCCCUCGGGUACAGGCGACUAUCCAGGCUCCUCCUGUUCCUCCGAGGCAGCCUCUCUUUCCAACUCCCAUGCCUGCGGUCCCUCAGCUUGGAAACAGACCCAUGACGCUACCGACGAUGGCAAUGCCUCACUAUCAGUUUGUUCCUGGGAUGCCUCCACCACCACUUAUGCAAAUGCAGCCGCCUCCACCAGCUUAUCAAGCGAUGCCUCCGCUACCCGACGAUGACAUGUUGAUGCCGCCACCUCCGGAGGAGCCCGAGCCCAAGAGACUGAGGCUGGAAGAUUCGCUUCUCAUCCCAGAGCACCAGUUUGCCUUCCAGUACCCGGGACCAAUUCCUGUCUCGGUGGCUGUACCUACAGUCGAAGGUGAAGGCAGUCUCAAGGGCCAGGUGCUGCAACUGACAAUGCCGUCGGUGUCGGAGACGAUUGCUAGCCUCAAGGAGAAGAUUGCUGCAGAGAUCGGUCUACCGGCCAACAAGCAGAAGCUGAGCGGACGCAUUGGGUUCUUGCGAGAUACGCAGUCUCUUGCCUUCUACAACAUUGCACCUGGCGAGAGCCUUACCUUACUCCUCAGGGAACGAGGUGGCAAAAAGAAGAACUGAAAAUGCUGCUGUGGCUUCCUACGAGUCAGAGAUCGUUGCUAGGUACAUCCAAUGAUCAUUACCUACGGGACGAGCUGGAUGAAACCUGCAGGCCGGCACUUCAAAACACAGGCAUUUCCAUUCGAAAACGGACCUUUCAAACCGGCACGAUUGUGUCGUAUGUGCUGCAGUGCUCGAGUCGCUUCAUGACGUAUUCGAUGAACUCGCAGAUGGGCCUGAAGGCUGACAUCGUCGUCCGCUCGUGCACCGUUGUCCCAGCUGACAGUACGAAGCAUCGAUAGCUUUCGUUGGUGGAUGGUUGCUGUUCCAUGGGCGGCUGCGGUUUCAUUGGGGGCAGCUCGUCAACUUCUUCGUCGUGGUCAGAAGAGGGAGAUUCCACCAUAAUCGCUUUCCCUUUCCUGGAUCUGUCCUGUUCUUCCUUGUCAACGAUGGCUUCGUUGUUCUUGGCAGUAUUGUCGUGCCAGACCUCGAAGAGCUGUGUUUUGCC